ACCUAACUAAUUAGAUCACCCUUACUCUUAACAAUUAUAUCACUAACUGCCAAAAAAUUUCUUACCCAGAAACAAUGUUCUUGGCCUUAGAUUCAGAUAAAAUUUAACCAGGCAGCAUUACUUGACUAGUAUAUUUGUAUAUGUAAGCGUUGAAAGUCAUAGUCUUCCUCCAAGAUUCUUUUGAUACUCUUUCCCUUUUUUCAUUUUUCCUCCUUUCUUGUUCGGUCUUAACUAUCAAUCGUUACAUCAACCAACCAAUUUUCAGGAAUCUUUAACCUUUUCCUUUAAACUAUUAGUAUCUGCGCUCAUUUCUGCAUUCACACUUGUAGUUCCACCCAUCCUUUGAAGAAUAAAGUUGUAUCAGUGUUUGAUAUUGUUGUUCUUCGAAGCCGCUUUUAGUCACCAAUCCAGAGCAAGGAGUAACCAUGACUAUUGCUAUUGAAACUGAGACGCCAGCAAGGCUUGAGGGAAAGUAUAAAGCAAUGGCAGUUUGUUGGAUUCUUGGGCUAGGGUCCCUUGUCUCAUGGAACAGUAUGCUAACAAUAGGAGAUUACUAUGGCAACUUGUUUGAGAAAUACCAUCCUACAAGGGCACUUACCCUUGUUUAUCAACCAUUUGCGCUUGGUACAAUCGCGAUUCUAGCAUACAAUGAAUCCAGGAUUGAUACUAGACUGAGGAACUUGGCUGGUUACACUAUUUUCUUUUCAAGUACUUUGGCUCUCCUUCUUUUGGAUUUAGCCACGUCAGGUAAAGGAGGGGUUGGACCUUUUCUUGGUAUAUGUGCAAUUGUUGCUUGUUUUGGAGUUGCAGAUGCCCAUGUUCAGGGUGGAAUGGUUGGUGACUUAUCCUUCAUGUGUCCUGAAUUCAUGCAGUCUUUUCUAGCUGGUUUGGCCGCAUCAGGAGCUCUAACCUCAGCUUUGAGGCUAAUAACAGUGGCAGCCUUUGAAAAAUAUCAAAAUGGUCUUCGAAAUGGAGUUAUGUUAUUUCUAGCAAUAUGCACCUUCUUUGAGUUUCUAUGCAUUCUGCUAUAUGCAUUUCUCUUCCCUAAACUGCCAAUAGUGAAGUACUUCCGCUCCAAGGCUGCCUUAGAAGGAUCGAAAACAGUUUCAUCUGACCUUGCAGCUGCUGGAAUCCAAACAAAAGUAGGCCAGGCUGAAGAUGAAGGUUUGCAACAGCAACGAUUGAGCGUUAAGCAACUAUUCUUCCAGAAUAUAGAUUAUGCACUUGACCUGUUUCUGAUAUAUGUGCUGACAUUGUCCAUUUUUCCUGGUUUCUUAUAUGAAAAUACUGGACAUCAUCAGUUAGGCGACACUUGGUACCCACUUGUUCUAAUCGCUUCAUACAAUGUGUGGGAUCUAAUAUCAAGAUACAUUCCCCUUGUGGAAUGCCUGAAAUUGGAAUCAAGAAAGGGCCUUAUGAUUGCAAUUCUCACUCGUUUCUUACUAGUUCCUGCGUUCUACUUCACUGCAAAAUAUGCAGAUCAGGGAUGGAUGAUCAUGCUCACUUCCUUCUUGGGACUCACAAAUGGUUAUCUAACUGUGUGUGUCCUUACAGUAGCACCCAAAGGUUACAAGGGACCUGAGCAAAAUGCCUUGGGAAAUAUUCUUGUGUUAUGUCUAUUAGGUGGCAUAUUUGCUGGGGUUGCUCUGGACUGGCUGUGGCUCAUCGGCAAAAAACAAGGCUUUUAAUAAGCAGAGUCUAUCUUGUUACUGUCAAGAAGUUGAUACAAGUUACAGAUUUAGGGGAACAUUUUUACAAUCAAUGUGUGAUAAUCAUGUCUAUUGAAGGAGCCAUGUUUAUUCCAAUAAUUUACAGAGUGGUGCCUAUUAUAUUUUGAGGUCUUAAAGAGGUAAAAUAUGUAGGUGUAAAAUCACUU